CCCGCCCCGAGCCGCCCGCCCCGAGCCGCCGGGCCGCUCUGUGCCUGCCGGCCAGGGGCAACGCCGUGGCGGCCAGGUGCAACUGGCACCAAGCUCCCAUUUUCUCCUGGCCUCAAAGCUGAGACUCUCGUCAGGAUUCCCUGAAUUAAACCCGCUUUUCAGUUUCUUAUAAAACAAUUCACGUUAUGUUAUUUGGACUCUGAGUCUGCUCCCGACACAGGCAGUGGGACUCCAGGGACCUGUCAGACUGGUUCCCCUGCAGUGCCCAGACUCAAGCCAACACUAUGUCUAUGCCAACACUGACAAUACCCAACUGAAG